rnacentral:rRNA from 1 species
AACGAACGCUGGCGGCAGGCCUAACACAUGCAAGUCGAGCGAGGACUUCGGUUCUAGCGGCGGACGGGUGAGUAACGCGUGGGAAUGUGCCCUUCUCUACGGAAUAGCCCUGGGAAACUGGGAGUAAUUCCGUAUACGCCCUUUUGGGGAAAGAUUUAUCGGAGAAGGAUCAGCCCGCGUUGGAUUAGGUAGUUGGUGGGGUAAUGGCCUACCAAGCCGACGAUCCAUAGCUGGUUUGAGAGGAUGAUCAGCCACACUGGGACUGAGACACGGCCCAGACUCCUACGGGAGGCAGCAGUGGGGAAUCUUAGACAAUGGGGGCAACCCUGAUCUAGCCAUGCCGCGUGAGUGAUGAAGGCCUUAGGGUUGUAAAGCUCUUUCAGCUGGGAAGAUAAUGACGGUACCAGCAGAAGAAGCCCCGGCUAACUCCGUG